GACUUUUUAAGAUCACAAGAUCACAAAUACAGCCCAACAUCCAUUCCAUCUAUUUCAACAAGAGGAAAUAAAGCUGGCAGCAGCCGAAGUGAAAGCAGCUCACUUUCAAUGGUUGAUGGUUCCUGAUGGAUUGCAAGAGGAUUGUGUUGCACAAUGCAAAAAAAUUUCAACACAUUCCAUUUUAGAGAGGAAUUUGACCACCAUAGCAUAGAGUACAUCUGGGCAAGUAUACUAAAAGAUGAGAAGAAGAAAAUGAUGAGGCUGUAAUGUACAGUAGCAACGGUUGUUUUAAUUUUUUCUACUAAGUCCUUUGAGCACUAUAUUUUACCAAUAUUACAGAAAUUUUUGUAUAUAUCUUGCA